UGGCGGGUCCUGUGCGGCGGGGCGCCGUGAACCAUGUCAGGCGGGGAACCGAGCAGCAUUAAGCGGUCUGCACUGUGCGCCACAGUCCGCCUGCCCGCC
rfam:Ruminococcus sp. CAG:177 genomic scaffold, scf108